rnacentral:rRNA from 1 species
CAGUCGCCGCGGGAAUACAGAGGGUGCGAGCGUUAAUCGGAUUUACUGGGCGUAAAGCGUGCGUAGGCGGCUAAUUGAGUCGGAUGUGAAAUCCCCGAGCUUAACUUGGGAAUUGCAUUCGAUACUGGUUAGCUAGAGUGUGGGAGAGGAUGGUAGAAUUCCAGGUGUAGCGUUGAAAUGCGUAGAGAUCUGGAGGAAUACCGAUGGCGAAGGCAGCCAUCUGGCCUAACACUGACGCUGAGGUACGAAAGCAUGGGGAGCAAACAGGAUUAGAUACCCGGGUAGUCCCUGUCUCUUAUAC